rnacentral:rRNA from 1 species
GAGCACAUGGGGGGGCAACCUGAUCAGCCAUGCGCGUGUGGUGAAGAAGGCCUUAGGGUUGUAAAGCUCUUUCGGCGAGGAGGAGGUACUCUUGUUAAUACCUAAGGCUCCUGGUCGUUCCUCGCAGCUAAGGCGUACUUAUCUGUGCCAGCCCCGCGGUUAUAGAACGUCCGUCUUCGAGAUAAGGGGUUAAUAAAUCCUAUAAAGGGAACCCUUCGGGCGGGGGGGGGGGGUCCCCCCCAUCUCCUAUCGGAGGGUGGUUUGCUUGGCCCC